GCCUGGGUGGCUCAGUUGGUUAAGCACCGGACUUCAGCUCAGGUCAUGAUUUUGCAGUUCACAGGUUCAAGCCCUGCAUCAGGCU
rnacentral:tRNA from 1 species